UACGUAGGGUGCAAGCGUUGUCCGGAAUUAUUGGGCGUAAAGAGCUUGUAGGCGGUUUGUCGCGUCUGCUGUGAAAUUUCGGGGCUCAACCCCGAACUUGCAGUGGGUACGGGCAGACUAGAGUGUGGUAGGGGAGACUGGAAUUCCUGGUGUAGCGGUGAAAUGCGCAGAUAUCAGGAGGAACACCGGUGGCGAAGGCAGGGCUCUGGGCCACUACUGACGCUGAGGAGCGAAAGCGUGGGGAGCGAACAGG
rnacentral:rRNA from 1 species